rnacentral:lncRNA from 1 species
GGAUGAGGGACCUGCGUAAAGUAGUCAACCUUUGUAUUUGACCAGAUAAUUAGAAGAGGGAUCCUUUUCAAUCAAGUGUUGUUUAGUUGUUUUUAGAUGAAAGAUAAAAACUAAAGUUAACAAAGAACAAUACAAGAGAAUUUAUACUGGUUCAUCCAAACAAUGGCUAAUCCAGUCCCGACCAACUAUCGGAAUUCACUAGCCUAAAGGUUAUGGCAAAACCUUAGAGUAUCAAGGAAACUCUUAAAAACCUCUCUAAGCUUUAAGGCUAACUUCGUUUAGGAACCAGUCUUUUACAGGUAGACUCGCAUCUUAGAAUAUCAAGGAAACUCUUAAGAACCUCCAACUUUUACGAGUAAGUUAGUAUCUUAGAGUAUCAAGGAACUCUUAAAAACCUCUCUAAGCUUUAAGGCUAACUUCGCUUAAGAACCAGUCUUUUACGGGUAGACUCACACCUUAGAGUAUUGUGGAACUCUUAAAAACCUCUAACUUUUACGGGUAAGUUAAUACCUUAGAGUAUCAAGGAACUCUUGAAAACCUAGAAAUCUUUCAAGGUAGAUUCGACCUAAGAGUUUUUUCAGAAACUCUAUAAAACCAAACUAGAGCUUUAUGGUUGAGCUCAAAAACCUUCUCUCACACUUAGGUGAUAUUGCCAAAGUAGACAUACACAAGAGGUGAUUAGAGGAGUAGAAUAUUUAAGCAAACAACACUUCUUACUUAUAGAGAUGAACAAGAAGAUUAAAAGAAGAAGUUAAAGAGCUUUUAAAGCUUUUGGAAAGCUAAGACACUUGAGCACUUGAAAGCUUGAAAGCUUGGAGGCAAAAACGUGUGAUCAAAUGUGGAGUGAAAAACUCUUUGAUUGCUUG